AGCGGGAUGGAGCAGUGGUAGCUUGCCAGUUUCAUUAUCUGGAGGUCGUAGGUUCGAAUCCUACUCCCGCUUCCA
rnacentral:tRNA from 4 species